UACGUAGGGUGCGAGCGUUAAUCGGAAUUACUGGGCGUAAAGCGUGCGCAGGCGGUUCGUUGUGUCGGUGGUGAAAGCCCCGGGCUUAACCUGGGAAUGGCCAUGGAAACUGGGGGACUUGAGUACAGAAGAGAAGAGUGGAAUUCCACGUGUAGCGGUGAAAUGCGUAGAGAUGUGGAGGAACACCAGUGGCGAAGGCGACUCUUUGGUCUGUAACUGACGCUGAGGCGCGAAAGCGUGGGGAGCAAACAGG
rnacentral:rRNA from 1 species